UACGAAGGGGGCUAGCGUUGCUCGGAUUUACUGGGCGUAAAGGGCGCGUAGGCGGUUUGGACAGUCAGACGUGAAAUUCCCGGGCUCAACCUGGGGGCUGCGUUUGAUACGUGCAGACUUGAGUUCGGAAGAGGGUCGUGGAAUUCCCAGUGUAGAGGUGAAAUUCGUAGAUAUUGGGAAGAACACCGGUGGCGAAGGCGGCGACCUGGUCCGAUACUGACGCUGAGGAGCGAAAGCGUGGGGAGCAAACAGG
rnacentral:rRNA from 1 species